UCAAUUUAACCAGAAAGUCAACGGUCAACCGGAAGAGGGCGAUGAGCCGACAGUAUCAUCUCUUCUGUCCUCUUCCAAUUCUACUUCCCAUCAUUCAAACUCUACAAAUCGUCGAAUUACACUGAUGGACUUUUUCGACGUUCGAAAAUUUCAAUCAUCGCAUCGCGAUUUCGUUGUCAACGAUGGUCGGCUUCACGUGGUUUCAGAUUAUUCCCUUAUUGCAUUGCUUCCUGUCAUAUUAGUUGGAUUAUUGAUAACAACUAUAUUCUGUGUCUAUAGAUUUCGAAGGUGGAAACAUAAUAAAAAACAACUAGCCGAAUUAAAUGCAUUUUAUGAAAUUGUAGAAUCAUCGCCAUGUUUAGCUUCUGGAAAACCUUAUCUAAUACAACAUUGCAAAGAUGUAGAGAAAUCCGAAUGUGAUCGAAUAACUCGUGCAGUUUGCGUUCCCACUCAAAGUUCAAUAUUCUUUCAACCAAUUCCACCGAAAGCAAAAUCAGUUCGAUGUAACAGUGAUGUACUGAAAGCAGUGAAUGCAAGUGAAGUAUUAUUUCAUUUUGCUCAACUACCAACAAUCGAAAAAAUCAAUAAUAAUAACAAUAAAAAAUCAUUGCACUUCAUUCAUCGAGUUUAG
rnacentral:misc_RNA from 1 species